UGGGGAAUAUUGCACAAUGGGCGAAAGCCUGAUGCAGCGACGCCGCGUGAGGGAUGACGGCCUUCGGGUUGUAAACCUCUUUCAGUAGGGAACAAGGCCAGUGUUUAGCUGGUUGAGGGUACUUGCAGAAGAAGCGCCGGCUAACUACGUGCCAGCAGCCGCGGUAAUACGUAGGGCGCAAGCGUUAUCCGGAAUUAUUGGGCGUAAAGAGCUCGUAGGCGGUUUGUCGCGU
rnacentral:rRNA from 1 species